AUUUCUGAAUAUGUAAAUGUUUCUGAUAUUCAUGGGUCAAACUGGUAUAAAUGCCAUGGGCUCAUAUAAUGGUAUAUCAUUUCACUUGUACAAGUGUUACAUAGAUUAUGGUAAAUGUUUAUGUGAGAUGUACUGGCUAAAAACGUGGGUUUGACAAGCAUGCAUGUUCUUUUAUUUGUGAUUGGUCUUUAUUUUAUUUAGUCCCGCCCUUGUUCAGGCACUGAGAGUUCUGAUUGGAAGCAGGAGUAGUACGAGGGAAAAAAAGAGAUGAUGGAGGCAGAUCAGAAAGUGAUGUCGCAUUUUUUCCCUUCUGAUUCAGAAAGAGAUAGUAAAGUAACCGCUGAUUAAGUGGUCAAAGAUUAUAUUCAGCGAAUGUAGGAAGUGUUAAAGAACGUUUCUUUAAUUUGUUUCAUUUGUUCUACUCUGACUAAGAGUUUAAACGGACUUAUAUUGAUUAUUGCGGCUGUGCGCGCUGUAAUCUCCCUUUCUUUUACGGAGAGUAAGAGACUAUAAUGUGAUGAUUGACCAGAGUUUAUUAAUCGUUCCUAAGAAGACGUCAAUAGGAUGGAGGAACCAGAUAGCAUUCUAAAUCCCCACGCGGUUUAGAAUUCCUCUGGCAUCGCGGGAUUCAUUGUCAUUCAGCGGACAGCUGGUGAGACUGCAGACACAUACGAAGUUCAUAACGCGAUCGGUAGACAGCGCGAGUGUCAACACACGGAGACACAGGUACAUUCGUUUGUUUAUGUAGCUCUCUGGAGCGAAGAGGCCAUUUGUUGGUUUUGACGGCCACACCGUUCUCAAGCGACGACACAGGCCUGCACCAGGUUGUAUCGGGGGUCCUAAUCACUCUGCCAACAUUUAACUGAGAUGAUGUCCCCACCCUGAGACUCUGGACCGCCAACACCAGACACCAGAUCAACCUGACUAUCAUCCCUUUCCUUCCCCUUCAUCCUCUCCCUAUUCAUCCCUAACUUUCUUCAGUAAAUAAUUCUCCAACAUUCAUGGAUGUGGUGUGGGCCUUUCUUGUGAAAUGUCCUUUAAAUUGAAAAGCUCUUCUGGGCAGUGGAUCAGUAUGACUUUGUCAUCAUGCUGUGUGCCGGAGAUCUCCAGUGCUUCUGGCACUUUGCUCACUAUGGUCCAGCUGGUGACUGUGUGGCCCUUGAUAGACAUCUGUCUGUGAUUGUUAAUGCUCCGAGCGGAUUAAUAAUCGGCACAGCUGACGAUGAAAGUGGUCAGAUUGUCUUCAGUGUUGAGGAGACUGGUGAGUCUCACCUUGAUACGUGUUUUAGUACAUCUGCUGCCCACGUUAUGAACAGAAAAAUCAUCUGUUUCUAGAACUCAAAGAGGAUUUCAUGUGGACCAUGCAGUGAAUCCCAGACAGAGAAUAAUUCAGAGAAUAAAAGUUUAAGUUUGUUUGUUGUUUAUAAAAAUUAAUGUUGUUAAUGUGUGUUUUCUUUCUUCAUGAAACAUUAAAGGAAAAAUUAUACUAAAUUAAUUAAUAUCAAAGUACCAUAUUAAAAUCACACUUUCAAACUCCAAAAAUUACAAACAAAAAAAAGUUGAAUGAAUGAAUGAACGAAUGAUCAUGUGUAUCUCAGCACGUUUUUAUCAGAUGUGCUUCAGUAAUUUCCACAGUCGCUUUGGGAUCAUGCAGGUUUUCCUGAACUUUGGUGUAUAUUAUCAGGGACAAGAGAAGAAAAAGGAAGAAGAGGAUAUGAAACAGAUAAACAGUUCAUUGUCCUUAAUUGGGGUAAAAAAUAAGUGCAUCUAGCAGAAACAAACACAUCCUUACUGUAAUGUGGGCGACAAACCCCGCUGUUAACAAACACUAAACCUGCGACUGCUUCAUCUCCAUUUAUAACCUGAUCUCCAGUUAUUAUUUGAGUCAGACACGACUGUUUCUUCAACAUCAAACUUUUUAAAAUGUGAAAUGGGUUUAUUUAUUUUUUUCCUUUUAGUAAUAACAAGGUCUUAUUUGAACUUUCCCAGUGUAUCUCCAGAAACAAGAGAAGCAGUGGAUUCCAGUAACAUGAAGCUCCUGUGAGGACGCUGAACAUCUGCUGAUGGAGCUGCUCUAUUCUGAGAGGAACAGAAUCACCUGAUGAUCAAAUAUGAGUUUCACUGUCCACACUUUAUUCUCAGAAAUGAGUCAGAAGAGUUGGACUAAUGGAGAGAUGAGGUUUGUUCAUGUUCAUCAGUUGAGAACAUGAACAUGAGAGUAGCAGUCAAGCAACAGGAGGAUCUACAUACUGUAAGUGUUUUUGUGUUAUUUCUAGUUUGAUUUUAGUGCUGUGUCGUUGCUAGGAAGUUUGUUUACUGUAUUCAUGUGGCAAGUCGCGUUUGUUCUCGUUUCGCUCUGAGUCAAUAAGGCGUGGCCUGCUGAACUAAUUAACGUUGUAUCAAGCGGGUAUAAAACUCAAGUGAAGCCCUCCUCGUGUGAAGACCGAAGAGUGUAAAGACCAGCGACUCUACCUGCGCAACUCCACCGAGCAAGGACACCGACAAGGCACUUGAGUAUUGCUCUUUUCUUUUUCCUUCUUUCCUUCCUCUUUUAUACAGUUUGUUCUUGUUUGUCUAUCUUGCGACCUGUUUUAGAUAUGUGCUUCCAAAUUACCACUAUUACUAUCAUUUGUAAAUCGCGUGCCACACGUUGGAGGCAGUGCAAUCAUAACAACCUGCGUAUUUUACUCAUGUCAUCUAGUACAUUACUUUCAAUUUCUAUUGGUCUCUGGAAUUGUCAAUCUGCUGUAAACAAAGCAGACUUCAUUACAUCUAUUGCUACUCAUUCAGGUCUCCAUCUCAUGGCUCUGACUGAGACAUGGAUCAAACCAGAGGACACUGCCACACCGGCAGCCCUCUCCUCUAAUUUCACUUCUUCUCACACCCCACGCCAGAUUGGGAGGGGUGGUGGUACUGGUCUGCUUAUGUCCAAUGAAUGGAAGUUCAAUCCUUUACCAGCUCUCUGUGACUACAGCUCAUUUGAAUCACAUGCAAUUACCAUCACCUACCCUGCUAAAAUCCAUGCUGUAGUGCUUUAUCGUCCCCCAGGUCAGCUAGGUAACGUCUUGGAGGAGUGAGAUGUGUUACUCUCAUCCUUCCCUGAGGAUGGUACUCCUCUGCUAGUACUUGGAGAUUUCAACAUCUAUCUAGACAAACCUCAGGCUGCUGACUUCCGCACUCUGCUUGCCUCGUUUGAUCUCAAGCGAGUGUCUACUACAGCUACCCACAAAUCAGAACAAUCUCCUUGACAACAACCAGUCUGGCUUCAAGAUUGGCCACUCAACUGAGACUGCCCUGCUCUCAGUUACUGAAGCCCUGAGAUUGGCACGAGCAACUUCAAAAGAAUAUUAUCAAACGACAUGUGUCGCGUUCUGUUACGACAGUCAACACAAUGAAACUCUCUCCAAGAUGAAUCAAUGUUUCUAUUAUUAUACUUCAUCAGUAGAUAACGAUACCGGUAAUACAAUACGCAUCAAUAUAUCUUCACUUUGUGCUUUGAACUUUUCAAUGCGGAGCGCUGCCGCUGCGCGCUGUGACUCCAUGAUGCUUCAAGCGCAUCAUCCUGCACACGGGAUGCGCAUAAGCGCUUUGUGCCGCUCAGUAUGGGAGCCGUUCAUAUUAUAAUACUUUUGCGCAAUGAAAGAUUGUUAAUAGUUUUUUUUUUUUUUUUCUGUCCUAUCUAUCAUAUGUUGUUGCCUCAUUAAAAAAAAAAAAAAAAAAACUCCGCUGUAAAUUUAAAAUAAAUGUCUUUUAUAUUUAGUUUAUGUUAUAUGACUCAAACAUUCAUGAAAACCAAGCCAUGAGUCAGCUGGACUCCUGUUUAUUUUGAAUGUCUACCGAGCUAGUGAAGCGAUUGGUUUAUUUACAGUUGUUACACUAGACUUUCCAUAUAUGAGGUUGCGUUAGACUUUCGCCGUCAUUUUGACGGACAGGAUCGUAAAAAUACCGUCAUAAUUAUUACCAUGCAUCAUUUUCAUUUUUAUAUUUUAAUGAUAAGACAUUUAAUAGCUUCCGAUUUCGUCCACAUUUUCAUUUUUAUUCACAAACUUAUAGGAUAAACAAAUUGGCUAUAUGCAUUUAUUUAUAUUAUGAAAAAAAAAAGCAUUAUGGAAAGAAAGGACUGCGUCACUUUUCAGUUUUCAUCUUGAACACUUUUUAAGGAUCGUGAGUGAACACGAUCAUCUCUUCCUCUUUACUACUUUACAGAAGGACAUAAACAUGAAUGAAAAUCAAAAAAUAUGUUGAAAGUUGCAGUAGCUUACCGAAAUCUGUAUCACGUCAGUUCAAUCAGUGUUGCAAACAAUGUCGCGUAUAUUCCUCAGAAAUUCGUUGACCAUAAACUUAUAGUCAGCAGCAAGAAAAAUUAAACGAACUAUUUAAAACAAAACGAAAUGGAUUAGAAACUUAAUUAUGUAAGUAUAAGUAUUAUAUGAUAAAAUGGACAAACUGGGUGCGUGUAAUCAAACGCAUUGUUUUCAUUUUAUUCUGGAGACUGAACUCGCGCUCUGCUGCCACACUGGAGCACACUCACCACCUACUGGACAGGGGUGGGAAUUACAGUUAGCCUCAGUAAUUGUCAAAAUGACGGACAGGCUGCAGAUUUUUUCCGUCACUGCUAAAAAUAUUCCAUCAAUGACGGAAAAUUUUCGGUUAACGCGACCUUUGAGAUUAUAUAUAUAUAUAUAUAAUAUACGUCACACUACCGCCUGUGACACUCCAUGACCGCGGUGGUACGGUUGUCAUGCCGACCGUCACAGCCCUAAGUGAGGCAUACAGUUUAUUAGGCAAUUUAGCACUUUUUUUAUUAUUACUUGAAUAUCGGAUCGGUAUCAGCCGAUACUGAAUUCCAGGUAUCGGAUCGGUAUCGGAAGCAAAAAAAGCCGGAUGGGUGCAUCCCUAAUCAGUAUUCUUAAAUGUUACCAAUCAGGCAAAUAAGAUCACUGGACAUAAACACUCACUCUAGGACUUGUUUGAUCGUUUUAUAAAAAAAAAAGUCAACUGUGAUUUUUAAAGACCGUACUCACCCCCUUCACUCUGGUUUUGAAAUGCUCACAUCUGGGCGAAGACUCAAAAUUCCUUUGGCCAGAAGUAAUGCGUAUAAAACAUUAUUUGUCCCAAUGGCAGUGAUUAUUAUAAAUCACACUGUUUUCUGAAAUAAUGCAAGAGAACGGUUGGCAAUAUAGCGCUUUUUAAUUGAUUGUUUAGAUGAAUUUUUAUUGUUGUGGGAUGUUUGGAAAUAUGUUAGGAAUGAUGUGGAUAGUGUAAUUCUGUUUAUUUCUGUGUUUGUGUGUCAGUGUGUGUCGUGUUGUUAAGCACUUCUGUGGAUGUAUUUAUGUAUAUGUAUGACACCAGUGUCAAAGACAAAUUUCUGCUCCGUGACAAACAGAAUGAACAAUAAAGUUAACUUAAGCUCAGA